rnacentral:rRNA from 1 species
UAGUCCACGCCGUAAACGAUGGAUACUAGGUGUCCGGGAUAUUAACCUCCUGGGUACUACAGUUAACGCGUUAAGUAUCCCGCCUGGGGAGUACGGUCGCAAGGCUAAAACUCAAAGGAAUUGACGGGGGCCCGCACAAGCGGUGGAGUAUGUGGUUUAAUUCGAAGCAACGCGCAGAACCUUACCUACCCUUAACAUUUCACGACGUAUACAGAGAUGUAUAUUUCUCUUCGGAGACGUGAGGAUAGGUGCUGCAUGGCUGUCGUCAGCUCGUGUCGUAAGAUGUCUGGUUAAGUCCAAUAACGAGCGCAACCCUUAUCCUUAGUUACCAGCAUUAAGUUGGGGACUCUAGGGAGACUGCCGGUGUUAAACCGGAGGAAGGCGGGGAUGACGUCAAGUCCUCAUGGCCCUUACGGGUAGGGCUACACACGUACUACAAUGGUGCAUACAGCGGGUAGCGAAAUCGCGAGGUGGAGCUAAUCUUGUAAAGUGCAUCCCAGUUCGGAUUGGAGUCUGGAACUCGACUCCA